AGAGUGGAGGCUCCUUUAAUCUUGACAGCCCGAAUGCUACAGGGGUCACAGCACAUCUGCUCCGGAGGAAAGACAAAGGGCAAGCACAUCUCAGGAUGGGGCAAUAUUUGGUGAGAACCAUAUUGGAUUCUACCAAAUUACAAAUAUAUUCCAGGUUGGCCUGAUCACUCACUCACCACUCCCUGCAACUCCAUGGAGAAGAUAUAAGCUGUCAAAAAUGUAUUUGUGAGUCUGAUGAGCUCUUUCACCCAGGUGACAGGGGUUUCUGCCAUAUUAAUAUUCUUCUUCUUCUCCACCUUUUGUGUUUCAAUGCUGGGCCUGGAGAAGGCAGGGACCUUGGCUCUUCCACGGUGGCUGUUCAUCAGCACUCACACAUCCACCACACCGGUUUAGUCGCACGCUGGAAGGUUUUGCUUGGAAUCUGCCAUCAGCAAUGCCGAGGCCUGGCCUUGGUGGAAAUGGAGGUGCUGCUUAACUUUUCUUCCAAAACAUAGUACAACCCUAGUCAUCCUGGUAGAGGACCUUUGGAGAUGUGAAUGAAAACAGCUGUCUGAACAAGUGGUACCCUAACUAGCGCGGCUGUGAGUCUGAAGCUUGAAAUGGGGAAGUUGGUCAGCAUGGGUGAGCUAUGCAGCCCAGGUGAAGGGAUCCUCAAGCAGCAGCCUCUGCCUUUUUGUCUUCUCCUUUUCACGGAGAUGACAAGAAUCACCCCAGGACUUAUCUUCUGAGGUGCUCAGCUGUGGUCCCAGUGCUGCUUUGGUCACUGCUAUGGCGGGUGGAAGCAGGAUGGGUGAAGUCAUUCUGGAGAACAAGGGCGAAGAAUGCAUGAAGGAAAUGAACAUGAUGGAUCAUAUACAUCAUACUGUCAUCCCCCAAGAGUGAGACAAACAGUAUCUUGAGGAGGCUCACACUGUCUUCCUGAUAAAAGCCAACAAGAAUGUGCAUUAAAAUGGAUCCUGUAUUUUAUGAUAAACUAUUCUCGCCCUGUGUUAUAUUGUGUUUUAUACAUAUAUACACCCCACCUUUAUGGAAUAAAAAUGAAUUCAGUGGACCUAAGGCAUUUGCUCUGGGGAUUUGGGAAUUAAAUACUGGAGGGCUAGACAAUGUCAAAAAUUGGAGUGGAAUUAAG
rnacentral:lncRNA from 1 species